rnacentral:rRNA from 1 species
CAGUCGCCGCGGUAACACGUAGGUGGCAAGCGUUGUCCGGAAUUAUUGGGCGUAAAGCGCGCGCAGGCGGAUCAGUUAGUCUGUCUUAAAAGUUCGGGGCUUAACCCCGUGAUGGGAUGGAAACUGCUGAUCUAGAGUAUCGGAGAGGAAAGUGGAAUUCCUAGUGUAGCGGUGAAAUGCGUAGAUAUUAGGAAGAACACCAGUGGCGAAGGCGACUCUCUGGACGAAGACUGACGCUGAGGCGCGAAAGCCAGGGGAGCGAACGGGAUUAGAUACCCCUGUAGUCCCUGUCUCUUAUACA